ACGAGCACAGCCCCCGAGCGCCUCAGGGCGGGGCAAGGGGCGCGAACGCCGGCCAGGGUCCCCGCCCGCAGCGGCCCCGACACGCUCGAGGCCCCCGCGGACUCCCGCCCCUCGCCGGCCGUUCCUUCGCCGGCCGGACCGUCGGGCCGCGAGAAACAAAGGAGCCGCCGCUGCUCCCACCCGCGCCCGCUUCACCGCGUACCCCUCCCCAGCGCGUCGGGCCAGGCUCGCCCUCACCCGUCCCUAGGUCCGCGCACCGGCUGCCUGCGGCCCUUAGACGGCAGGCCCGGCAGAGCCGGGGCCUCGGGUGCGCGGCCGGCCGGCUCGGGGCCGCACUCACCGCUGCAGCACCAGGACGACGGGGAGCCGUUGGGGAACUUGGCUGAGUCCGGAGCGAUGCAGACGCUGGAACUGAGGUGCGGGCACUCCAUGGCCACGAGGACCGUGGCAGGGAGGACAGAGGCUCCGGGGCCGAACGAGGCGGGGGCGGAGGGACUCUGGAGGCUCCGUCUGGGGUCGCUCCUCGCCGGGCGCUAGGCAGACAGCGGCUGCGUCCCGAGCCCUUGCGUCAAAGAAAGCAAGGGCUUCCGGGCGCCGGGUUUUCCCGCCCGCCCUCUCUCAGCACUCCGCUCCGAAGAACGUGGAAUUCCGGGAUCCGGGUUCUGCCGCCACCUCUAGACCCGAGGCUUCCGCCUUCCCGGUCAGGCCCCGCCCCCAAGGCCGGCUCCGCCCCUGUGCACUCCCGCGGGUGGGGUCUCCGCGCGCGCUACCCUCAUCUGAUAGCUCAGGUUCCUGCAGCGCUUGGAAGUGACUUUCCCAAUUCCGCUCCCCUGGGCGGCUGCGGCUUCCCUGACUCAGGGAAUGGGGCUACCGGGCCCCGGCAGACAAGUCCGGUCCGCUGCGUCUAUCGGGUCCGGCGAAGGAGACUGAUAUUGCUUGGCGUGUUGGUCUGACUACAACGCGGCUUAGUGGUAGAAAAAUCUGGCCAAGUAACAGAGGGACAGAAAGAAAAUACAAACCACUCGGGCAGACGGGCACCGUAACCCUCCCAUUUUACCAAGCAAGAAACAAGCCCGGGGAGAUUAAGCCUGGCCCCGUGUUUGCGCCAGUGGGCUGCUUGGGUCCCAGAGCAAUCUAAUUCUGUCCUUUGAGACAGGUGUGGUUCUGAGCCGGUUCUGAGUUCUGCGCACACGGCCGUAGCUGGAAGAUGAGUGGCUGAGCCCAUUGGGGCACCCACGAACCUGGAUUCAGACCUUGUCACCGUGAUUAACUUUCAGCGUUACCAGGAGCACGUCGUCCUGAACUUUACAAAUCUCUCUGCUGGAAAUUUAAGUGAAAUACAUGUAACCUGGUUUUCGAGGUCCCGCCAACAGGUGAUAAAAAGGGAAGGGAUCUAACAUUGUUGGACGCGCUGAACCGCUUCCCUGCCAGGCACUUUGCAAUACAAAAUACCUCAUUUAAGCUUCGCUAUACCCUACAACUGAUGUUACGUUUCUCUUUUUACCGCGGGGGACAUCGAGUCUAUUAAUUUGCUAAUCCGUGCCGAGAUUAGGUCCUCUGCUCUCUGGCCUAUUUUAGAAAAGAGUUUAUGGGAGGGCAAACCUCUAGGGGCUGCUUGGAUUCGCCUUACACCGGAGCCGGAGGAGCCUGCGACUUAACUAGGGACAGUCUUAAGGACACCAGGGCUGUUACAAAUAUUGCCUCAGAAGUUUGGGCUCCUUGAAAACCCGUGAAAGGAGCCACAAGGCCAGAAGGCAAGCAAGGGGAGGGGGAAGACUGAUGUAGCAAUUCAAUGGGCAGAGUGGGGGGGGGGGAAGGAAGGUCCGGAAAUUAUUAACUGGGCCGGGUAGUGGUUAGAGUGGGGCACCUCCCUGAAGUGCAAUCUUGGAGCAGCCCAAGGUCACUCCCUUGGUCACUUCUCACUACUCCCUCAACCCCAGCAGUCCUCUGCUAAUGGUGUCCACCUUCCUGCAGCAUCUUUGAGACCUUUCCCCCCCUUUGUUUCUUCAAAGUUCCUUUGCCCUUUUUCAAAUUAUAUUAUUGAAGUUAUUGCAGUGAGGAGUUGUGGAAAGUGCAUAGGAAGCCAGGUAAGCAAAUGUUCAAAUCUUAAUUCUGCCAUUAUUUGGUGGCUAACCUUAGCAAGUGUUUUUAGUCCUUACCCCUCCCCCAACUUUUUUCUUAAUCUGUAAAACUGGAAAAAUAAUACGUAUCUGAAAAAGAAAUUAAAUCACGAGAUUUACUACCAUGUAGUAGGUAUUAAAUAUAGUUUUGUUUAUAACAGCAGUUGUGGGAUGCUUCCCACAGGAUAAACAAUAAUAUCUAACCUUUGCUCAAGCUCUUCCAUCUAUCUCCUCCUACCAGCCUAUUUAUCUUUCAGGCUUGGCUCAACCAAUCUUCUGUUUCUCUCAGGACAUGUUCCCCAUUUGGUAUCUAUAGCCCCUCAUUUGGCCAUGGAACAGUCUGACUCAUGCUGUCUUAUACUGGUAUGUAAUGUUACUUUUUUCACCCUCUCAGAAACUGUUUCCUAAUCCCCUAAACCUCAGUUUAAACACCACUUCCUGCAGGGAGGCCUUUUCUGACCCUGCUCCACCCCCAGGGUACCUCCCAGGGUGUGAUGCCCUUGACUGCCCCCACACUGCCUUUAUAAAACAUUCUUCUGCAUGUAAUUAUUUGUUUAAUGUCUGUCUUCCCCUUGGAGGUCCGUAAGGGUAGCAAACAAGUCUGUCUGGUUUCCUGCUUUAUUUCUAACAUAGUAUGUAGAACAUGGAAGGUGUCCAAUAAAUAAAGGGUUCAAUGAAUGGAAGAGUGGGUGAGUGAUGCUUUAGCAAUAUUUAGGAAGAAAGGAGUUUAGGAAGUGCCUAUAUAUAUAUAUAUAUAUAUAUAUAUAUAUAUAUAUAUGUAUCAGGUAUUUUCCACCUUGAGAGUAAACUGUACAUUUCAAUUCUGAGUUUGUGAUUUUAAAAGGAUCAGACAUGUUAAAGCAUCUUGUAAGGUAUAAACUGCUAAAACAGAUAUAUUAGUAUUAUAUAUUAUAGUAUUAUUGUCAUCUCUCCAUAACCAGAAUAAAAAUUCCGUGGAACAGGGGCCCUAUUUUGGCCAUUCUUGAUUUUGGUCGUCCCCUAAAGGGUAGACUCAGGCAGUCCAAAGAAGUCCAAUGGAAUCAGAGACCAGUUUCCUGGGGCUUUUGGUAGCCUGCCCUAAAACAGAGAACUUUCCUGUGUCUUUGAAAGUUUUCACAGUAAGAAAAAUUUGAAGGGGGGGGAACCCCUCAGUGAGUAAAUGUGUCAAACGGGGGAAGGCCAUGGGGCACCCUGGGAAAUCUGCCUUUUCAUCCAUGGAUUCUGCAGCUGCAUUUAAUACAACCUUCGCUUUUUUGUUCUUGGCUGGCAUGCCUUUGGCUCCCAAGAGCUCCGACUUACAUACCAGCAUGCCCAGAUAGUGAGGAGGGAGCUUCCAGCUCCAUUGCUUUGCACCACCGUUUCCACCACCCCAUACCCUACCCAGCCCCCUGGAUAUCUGCUGGGGCUACCAGCCCAAACACCUGCCAGAAGCAGUGGGCCUAUUUUAAAAGUGUGCAUUUUUUGCACAGGGGAGGAAUGCGCAAUUCCAACAGUACUAUCAAAUGAUUCUCGUAUAAAGAAUGUGUAUAUACAUUGGAGUGGGAAGAAGUGAAAGAAGGGGAUGUUCCCAGAUGCAUAAGAACUGUGAUCAGGAAAAAGCUCAAGGUUGCUGCAACCUGCCAAAAAUUUAGAUUUGUGACUUAUGGUAGAAUCUGUGGUCCUCAAGAAUUACAAAGCUGACCAGGCCCUGUGAAAAAGUAGCUCUGACUAUCCCCAUUCAGGUAAGACUGAUUAGAAACACCCAGAGAGCUGGCUUAAAUAUUUACUAUAGAGAUUUUUCUAAGAGCAAACCUCCUUGGAAAACCAAAGUUAGAUCAAGAGGAGGCUUCAAAGCAUUGAAAAGUGUUGGGGGUGGAGGAGCAUCAGCUCAAAAACUCUUCUAUCACCAGGUUUCAUUUUCCUAGCAGCACUGAUCUGAUAUUUUGUUGCUUGUUUACUUAUUUAUCUAUUAUCCAUAUCCUCAUGAGAUUGGAGACCUUGCCAGUCUUGUUCGAAGCCUGAUUGCCAACUCCUGGAAUACAGCUUGAUAUAUGCCAGGCCUCAGUAACUAUUUGUUAAAUGACUAAAUAAAAGGGGAACAGGGGAAACAGCUCAGAAUCCACAUCCUCAAGGCUCUGGGUUCAAUCCCCAGACAGCAAACCCACUCACCCAUCCCCCAAAAAAGGGGUGAUGAUGGGCAUGGGCUUCAGCAGAUGCACCCUCACUUUCUUACCCAAGAAUAUUGGUGGUGUCAUUCUUCUCACUUCUUUCCAUUCACCCCUUUCACAUUACCUCCCCUACAUAGUCACCUGUCACCUCCCUUUUGCUAAAGUUUUUGUGUGUUUUUAAAAAAAUUGUUCUAGCAGUACCUAAAAUCAUUCUCCUAUUAUACAUAAUGUUCUUCCUCACCACUCUGUGCCCUUCUCAUCUGGUACCCUUCUACCUGGCCACCUCCUUCUCCUCCUUCAUUAAACACAGUGCCUUCUCAGGGCAAUCCUCCAUCACUCACACAAGCUGACUUCAAAGUCUUCCCUCACUACCACCCCCACCACCCCCAUCUUCUGUCCCUGCAGUUUGUCACAGAGUGCUGUUAUUUUCUGGUCACAUUUUGGUCUCACUUGAGAGGUGUUUUUAUUUUCAUCCAUGUUCUUGGUAUUGAGUAAGCAACAGCAGAUAUUAAAACCAAUUAUAUUUGUUGAUAGAGGUUUUCGUUUCUUCUUUAAUCCCUGGACGAUAAAUAAUACCACCUUCAUUUUACUAAAAUGGAGAGAACUAAAGCUUAAAGAGGGUUAAAUAAUUACAUACAUUUGUAUAACUAGUAAUUGUUCAUUUAUCAGAGAAGGCAAAGUUUUUAUCCUUUCUGUACAUGGUCAUCUAAAUGAUUUUGCAGUAUUAUAUGAAGUUACUGAUGAGAGGGAGUCUUAGAAACCACAGGACACAGAAGAGCCUUCUGAGUAAAUAAUCAUUAUGUUUACUACCACUGUAAUAAUUAUAUCAACAUCUUAAUUUGUAUUGCCUUUGCUUUCGUCUUUAUCUCUGAGAGCCUCUUUUGUGAAGAUGAGGUUUUCCUGUUUAAAGACCUCUUUGCAGAUAAAAUACUGAUGGAUUAAGCACCACAGAAUGGCUCUAGCACCAAACAACCCCCAACAGGGAAGGAGUCACUGCUUUCCCUGGCCCUAGUCUUUCCAUUUGCAAAAUCUGAGGUUUGAACUUAAUAAUCACUCUUACAUGAUUGAGCACCCACAAUCUGUGAUAGCUCAUGGCCACCUAGUGACACUAACAGAAGGAAGACCAUCUCUCUGUGCUACGGCAGUGAUCACUAACUAUUCAUCCCAAAUCUUUUUCUUUUCCUUUUGGGUUCACAAAUAGUACUUUCUCAGCUUCUCUUGCAGUGAGGUGUUCCUGUCAAUGGAAUCUAAAGAAAUCACAAGGUUCAGCCUUGAAUAGCACUGUGAAGAGCCACCCAUGACUCAUAUAUUUCAAUGUCCAGUUUGGUUUAUCAGCACAUAGAGGAAAAUAUUAGGCUAGGCCCAGAAGGAAAUAUGGGUCUGCUAAGCUUCACUUAUGCCCUUUCUGUGUUGCCUCUUCAAUUCUUCGUUUAUUUAAUCAGCAGGUCUGCCUGCACUCUUAUCAUUUGCUAGUCACUGGUAAAUGCUUAGAGCUAUGUGGAGUCCUCCUCUACAGACAUUCCUCUGCCACUAUCAAGAGGAAGACCACUGUGGUUUUACUCAUUUUCUCUUGAUUGCUAAUUGCCUGAUUGGUAUAUCCACACCUCUGAGUUUCCAAAUGUUGUCUAGAUUUGGGCCUUAAGCCUUUCAAUGGUGUAAAUGACAUCCCAUGUAAAGGGCCUGCUUGGUGCUUGGCAUACAAUAGACCUUCAAUAAACAUCUGUUUCCUUGAAACCUUAGCAGGUAGGAGAAUUGAUGUGGGAGGUCAGGGAUGAUGGCCUAAUACCACUGGUUCUAGUAUAGCUGGCACAGAAAGUUAGAUUUUUGUCCUUUUAAAGGGAUCUGGAGGGCUGGGGUUGUGGCUCAGUGGUAUAGCACUCGUUUAGCAUGCGUGAGGCACUGGGUUCAAUCCCCAGCACCACAUAAAAACUAAAUAAACAAAAUAAAGCUAUUGUAGCCAUCUCAAACUAAAAAAAAUAAAAAUUAAAAAUUAAAUAAAAAAUAAAAAAAUAAAGGGAUCCGGACCAGGUCAUUUGUUCAACUGAUAUCACUGAUAUGCUAAGCUUUGUGAUAUAAAAAUGAGCAACACACAGCCUUAUCCUCAAAGGGAUGAAGAAAAAGGUACAAGACAGACACCAGCAAACAGGCAAUUGCAACAGUGUGAUAAGUGCUAGGAGGGGAAGUACAGGAUGUUUCUUAGCCACAAACAAGGGACAGAAAACUAACCCAGGCUGGUGAGUGGGUGUUGAGGUGGAGGAAGUGUCAAAUAAGACUUCCUGGAGGAAGUGGCAUAUAGCUUGGGACCUGCUUGAUACCCAGGUAAAGAGUGUGAAAUCAGGGUAGAGAAGGGAGCAUAGUAUCUCAGGCAGAGGGAACAAUUGCAAAGGCUCAGAGAAGAUCUGAGACUGCUGAUCCAGCUGGAGAGUUGGGUACAAGGGGACAGAAGGCUAAGAGAUGAGGCUGGCAAAUAGGCAGAAAAGACAGGAUUUAUAACAAAGAACUGCCAACACAGAGAAAUUUGGGUCUUCAGGACACUGGCAUCUCAGGGUUACACUUUGCCAAGUCCUAGGAGAAGGGAUGAAGGGGCAAAGAUACAGGAAGAAGAAAGGAACUAAUAAUUAUUAAGCAUCUGUAAGGCAUUCAGCUGCAUUAGUCAUCUGGGAAAUGCAAAUUAAAACCACAGAACAAACCUAGCCAGAAACAAACAAGCAGGGGUGAGAAUGAAGAUAUGAAUCCCCCCAACACACGCACACACACCCCAUCUUGACCAGAUCUCAGAACUGUUCUUGAGGAACUUACAGUCCACUGAGAGGAAGAGGCAAACAAUUUUUGGGGGGGCGGGGGGUGGUGCUGGGGAUUAAACCCAGAAGGCAAGCACUCUACCAACUGAGCUACAUCCCCAGCCUCCAAACACAUUUUAAGAUAUAGAAUUGUGAUGGAGAAAGGAAUGCUAGGCAUAGAGACCCCCAACUCUGCUGCCUCCUGUUCUUUCUUAACCUUCAUGUGACAAUUUAGCUAUCCAGAAUAUUUAGUUAUCCAGAAAACAAAUUUCACAAACAUCUAGAACAUACAUUUUCAUAGUCUGAACUCUUCAGACAUGUACUUUAUGAACUGAAAAGAAGCAGGGCUUUGGGGCCAAGCAGGCUAUGGUCCCAUCUCUACCACUGAUCUGCUGUGUGACAUUAGGCCAGCAUCCUGGCCUCUCCUGAACAUCUAUGAAACUGGAAUAAUAAGAACUGCUUCCAAAACAGUGACAUUCUUGCUCUGUUUCCUUUACUCAAAUAUUUAUUUUUGGAAAGAGAGAAUGGGAAUUCAUGUGUUCUGACCAGAACAAUUUUCUAAAGUUGGUAAUGCCCAUAAUUAUGCAUUGGUAUAAUCACUCCAAAGGUUAUAAGCAUAUUUUAUAAUUAAGCAAUUAAGAAAGCUCUGCUAUGGCUGUCAUGGUUAUAAAUAUUUUCUGGCAGCAGCAGCAAAGGGGGAAAAAGUAUUUUGACAUUUUAUACCAUCCAAAGAACAAUGGCAAAAAGGUAAGGAAAGGAACUUAGAACCUUUUUGGCCAUUCUCAGUUCCCUAUGGAGCACUGGGGUUUUCAGGCUGGAGAUGGAGGCCAGAAGCUGCAAGGAUUCAUGGAAAAUGGCACUUCUUGCGAACCCUGUGGGGAGAGUCCUUAGAGAACUGAGACGGUCAGGAGUUUCACAGAGUAUGAAACUAACCCCAGAGAGGUGCUACAUCACAAAUCCAGCAUCACAGAGUCCUCUUGUUGGCAGCAGAUACCAUCAUGCUCCUUGCCGGCUGGAUGCUGUGCAAGGCCAAGGCAGGCAAGACUUUUCUUCCGUGCACUUUGGUUGGCCUUUUCCUGUCUGCAGAAUGUGCAAGUUGGCUCUACCCAGUGAAGAGGUGCUGCAGAUGGGUAAAGCACAGAACGCAGCAGUCAGUACAGCAAGUUCCCUCCAUAAAUAACCUCCAGAUUCAAGCCAGUGAGCCCUCUGAAGGCAGUGGUAGCCCCAGGAUAGAGUGCCUGGCACAUAUGAGGCACUCAGGGAAUUACAUUACUCUGGUAAAUAAAUGUGUAAGCCGUGAAAUGCUUACUGUAAAGCUGGCCCUGGAAGAAUAUAACAAAAAACCUAAGUGCUGCUGGCUCUACAGAGGGAGCCCGGGUGGGAAAACAGAAGGGAAGAGGGAAAUGACUUUUUACUGCACACCCUUUUGUUCCUUUUGGGUUUUGUACCAUUGGUUUUCAAAAAAGAAAUAUUAAGCUGGGCUCAGUGGUACACUGCUGUAAUCCUGGCUACUUGGGAGGCUGAGGCAGGAGGAUCAGAAGUCCCAAGCCAGCCUGAGCUACUUAGCAAGACCCUGUAUCAAAAUAAAAAAUAAAAAGGAUGGGUGGGGCUCUAGCUCAGUGGUAGAGCACCCUUGGGUCCAAAAAAAAUUUUUUUAAAUUAGAACAAGAUGAAAGCCUAAUGUAAUUCCCUAUUCAGGGAAGUUUGUACUUGAGUUGGAGGAAGAGAGAGUAGAUCUUUAGAGUUAAACCAACUUGAGUUUGACUCCCAGCUAUUUCUGCUGCUUACUAGCUCUGUGUCUGAAAGCAAGUUACCUACCUUCUCUGAGCCUCAUGCUACCUAACUACAAGGAGGAUAAUGAUCAUCCAUUACAUUAUGAUGAAGGUGAAAUGUGAUAACAUAGUUAUGCUUACAGAGACCCACUGUGUGCCAGGCAUUCUUCAUAAGGUUUUCUGUCUGUGUAUUGACUACCUCAUCCUCAGGACAACCAAACAAGAGAGAUACUGUUAUUUUCCUUUUCUAUAUUUGACAUAUGAAGAAACUAAACUCCAGAGAUAUAUCAAGGAACUUGCUUAGGGUCUCAUAGCCAGGCAGGCUCCCUACCUCUUCUUGAAAUAGUAGCAUCCUCUCUUUUUCAUUAGGGAAUUCUUUAAAAUACAAGCAUUCUCAAGGUCCAAAGAAAUAUCUUUUCUAGUGGUGGGCUUUUGGAUGUGGUGACAGGAUAGUAAGAACAAUGCUGGUUAGGGAGGGGCAGGGAGAGGGCAAGAGAGGGAGAGGGCAAGCAAGAGAGUGAGUGCUAGCAAUGAAGUUAAAUAAGAAUUUUGCAGAGAAUGCAGUCGAAUUGUAGCAUACAUGUAACUUUUCUGCUUUACCCUGUACUUUAACUAUUUUUAGAAUUCUGAAUUAUAUAUUGGAGAGGACACCAGGAAUUCUUCAGGACUUAGGACUUCUGAAAACGCUUAAUAGGGUGGAGCAAACUUUUAGGCAGAGUUGCUUCACCAACGCCCCUCAAAUGGGUCCUGAGUCACUUCUAUGCACAUCAUUGAUUCUACAGUUAUCCAUAGUAGGUCUUUAAGUGUUUGACAUCCUGAUGUUAACUUGUCUAUAAAGACUUAACUGUUUUUUCAUAACCAAAUUAAUUUUUUAAAAAUUCCAGUGCAUUGAAUGUUACUGAAUUUUGACUGUACAUGGAAAAAUAAAACAUCAUUUUCAUUUCCCUAAAAAAGAGUUUCAAGGUUAGAAAUGAGCCUGAGGGGCUGGGUUUGUGGCUCAGUGGUGGAGAGCUUGCUAGCAUGUGUGAGGUACUGGAGUAGAUCCUCAGCACCACAUAAGAAUAAGUAAAUAAAAUAAAGGUAUGUGUCCAUCUAUAACUAAAAAAAAAAAAAAAAUUGAGCCCAAAUUUCUAAAGGGUGAUAACAUUUGUUUUCUUUCCCUGAGCUAAAAAGACUCUUCCUCAUUGUGUCUCAUUUUCCCUCCCCAUACCCAUCACCCAUCACCCCUUCUACCUCAGAACUCUCAGUGUUUUCUGUAGACUUCCCAUCAGGCCACACCCUGGGCCCUAUGUGCACAUAGGGAGCUCCCAGCACUAGGACCCACCCUCUUCUUGGCGAUGCCCCUAAGCUAUGGCCAGAGAAGGGAGAAAGUACAUCAAGUCCUCACUCCUGCCUCCUACUGCAGAUUUUCAUACAAACUUGCCUAUCUCUUUCUGCCUGUGCUCUACCGGAAGCUUUCAGCAGCUCCCCACUGCUCCCAGAAGAAAGCCAGGUCCUUCCCUACAUCCUCACACUUGAUCCUGACCAACCUGCUAGCCUGGCUUAUCUCCACACUUAUCUCCACACUGGUUGCUACAAGAUCCUGACUCUCUUACUCUGGCUUCUGGCUCAAGCUGUUUCCUCUGCCAUUUCCACUAAAACCUGGGAAAUUCUCCCAUCUACCAAGGCCCAGCACCAAGCCCAUCUCCUAGAGAAAUCCUUCCCUACACUCAUCUCACUCAUAUUCUCUCUCUUUCCCUCCUUCCUCCUCUUCUCCCCUCCUUGCUUCUCUUCCCCUCCCCUCCCUCUCUCCCUUCUCCCCUUGCCCCUUCUCCUUUCUCUCCUCCUCCUCUCUCUCUCUCUUUGGAUAUUUCCCACUUUCAAUCACAUUCCCUUGAGGCUCUGCUUAUACAGUCAUGUGCAACAUAAUAAUGUUUCAAUCGGUGACAGGCCACAGAUAAAACGGCAGUCCCAUAAGAUGAUAAUGGAGCUGAACAAAUCCCAUCGCCUAGUGCUACAGAGCUGUCAUAAGAUACAAGUGCAGGGUUGGGGCUGUGGCUCAGUGGCAGAGAGCUUGCCUAGCAUGUGUGAGGCACUGGGUUGGAUCCUCAGCCCCACAUAAAAAUAAACAAAGGCAUUCUGUCCAUUUACAACUACAAAAAAAUUUUUUAAAAAAAAGAUCCAGUGGGCUAGGGAUGUGGCUCAGUGGUACAAUGCUUGCCUCGCACAUGUGAGAUACUAGGUUUGAUCCUCAGCACCACAUAAAAAUAAACAAAGAUAUUUCCCAAUCACUCUGAUAUCUCAUUAAAAAAAAGAUCCAAGCACAACUCAGUAUUCUGAUAUACAUUUAUGCCAAUCACAUAAAUGUAUGAAACACAAAAUUAUGUACAAUGCAUAUAUCUGAUGGUGACAACUGGUUGUGUUGCUGGCUUUUGUGUUUACUAUAUCAUGCUUUUUACUGAUAUUUUAGAGUGAUUUCUACUUUUAAAAAAAUGUCUACUAUAAAGCAGUGUGCUGUGUUUCGCUGGCAGCAGCCUCAUACAUCUCGUGUUUACCACAUCUCUUGAUUGCAUCAUUUUCUCUUCUGCUUGAUUUAAUCUCAUGUUGUUUUGUUCAUCCUAGGAGUUGUUUUGUUCACCCUAGAAGUUGUUUUGUUCAUCCUAGGAGUUGUUUUGGUCCUAGGAGCAACAGGCUAUACCAUAAAUCUAGGUGUGUGGUAGGCUAUACCAUCCAGGUUUGUGUGAGUCCACUCUUGGAUGUUCACACAGGAAUGAAAUCACCUGAUGACUCAUUAUAUCUCAGAACGUCCUCAUCAUUAAGUGACAUAUGACUAUACCUUUGGGUACUUCUUUCAGUCUGCUUUGGAAUAGUCUUCGUGUUCACACCACCCCCAAGUUAGAAACUGUGUCCUGGAAUAUAAGAGCUAUCCAUUCCUUUUCCAUGAGCAUACAUGCUAUUGUGUUGGCCCCAGGGUUUUGGAACUAGAGUAAGUUCUCAGCAAAAGUUUGGCACUUGAAUACAGCAACUUGAUGGACAGAACUGAGUUUAAGUGCCCCUCUGCCUAUUAAUAACUAUGUGACCUUGGACAAGUGAAUUAUCCUCUCUGAACCUCUUAGGUCAAAACUUACAAAUAGAAGUUUAUAAUAACGCCUCCCCCAUGGCAUGUUGACAAAUGAAUGAGAUAGCACACAGAAUGUGUAAUGUAACACUUGCCAGUCAUAUAGUAGUUCCUGGCAAACUUGUGUCUCCAACUUCAUACUACAUACUUUGGGAGUUUUUCCAUCUUUUUCCCUAGACCCCCUCGAGUUGGUAUCUGGGGAUAAGGACACCAGAAUAUUAACUUUGAAAGACAAAAAUGGGCCUAAGGAUAUAGUUCUGUGAUAGAGCACUUGCCUACCAUGCAUGAGAUCCUAGGUUUGAUCCCUAGCACUGCAAAAGAAAAAGACAAAGAUGACUUUCAUGUAACCUAAUAGUAAAGAUAGAAAAGAUUCUAAAGAAAGUCGGUGAGAACCAUACUGGCAACCCCAGGCCCUGGAGGAGGUGGGGGCUACUCCUUUCUCAACUAAAGAGGUCAGAUCCUACCUAGGAAAUCAGGCCCAUUAGUCUCUGCAAGCUGAAGAUUAGCACCUACUAGAGACCCUCACCAAAGCCCUGGCCACACUGUACUGUAAGCCUGAGGCCCUGUGAGCUUGCUUGGAAUAUGGAGAAGAGGCAUUUUCACUGGAACUUGGCCAAUGGGUCUCUAGCAGUGGGGGUGAAGGGUACAGAGGCCAGGAUUCUAGAGGUCAGGGAGCUCCUCCUCUCAUCAAGAUACACUCUGUGCCAAACAGCCUUCUGCCCAUACCUUGGUUUCCAGGAGCAACCAUUCUGGGAAGAGGCAGGGGAAUGGAGUGUGGGGUGAAGAAGGCCGGCAUAUAGCUGGUAUGCAGAAUGAUGUUCUUUUUGGAAGCUGUGAUCUCUGGGCACUUAUUAAAUAGGCAUUUGGAUAUUUUCAGUCUCCUGAGAAACUGGGUAGACCACCAACUUUCCUCAGAGCUGGGCUCCCUAAAAUAAGUUGAUCUACUUACUUCUCCACACCAUCCCCAUCAGCCUGUCCUAAAUCUAGGUCUCUGUGAUGGGGCAUUAUUGUGGGAUUGAAACUGAGGGAGGAGUGGCUGCCAUGGGAAGAUUUGAAUAUCAUGUAGCCACCUUUCCCCUGGAGAUGGGAUCCUGGACUAGGACUUUGGCAAGUGAGUGACUCAUGGAGAUGAUCUAGCUCAAUCUGCCCUUUUACAAAUAAGAAAACUGAUACCUAAAGAGUCUAAGCCAGGAGGAAAACCUAAGUCUGCUCAUCCCCAGGCCAGGGCUUUUAUCCUGUCUUUCUAUGACAGUCCCAUGAAGACAUUUUCCUGUGCUAUGAUGUCACCAUAUGGAUAUAUCUGGAUUUAACUAGGAAAUGUGAACCCUACUUGUCCUAAUGUCAAAUCGGAGCCUCACCUCACCUCUUGCCUGACCUGUAGCUUCUCAUUCCUGUGGCUGGGGGGAGGGCAGGACAGAAGGACUUGCGUAAGUGGUAUCCAGACUCAUACUUGGCUAGAUACUUUGGGUGGAGUUGGGGAAGGUCCAAGGUGUGAGGGCUCUGGGUUGAUCGGCCUGUUUUUUGAGUGCUGGCCAAGUAGGCAGGCAUUUGUUUCUUCCUCUCCUUCAGGAU
rnacentral:lncRNA from 1 species